rnacentral:sRNA from 1 species
UCAUUCAAGGAUGAGAUUAAUGGAGAAUUUAACACAACAAAAGACUUUUGAUUUUUUCUCAAUUAGUUUUACUAGUUUUUUAAUUAAUUAAUGUAGAAUGAUACAUGUCAUUUUCUUGUGUGAUGAUGUGUCAUUUAUAUGAAGAGAGUUGACCAACUUUCACAUAUAUGAUUGCUUUGUUAUCUUGUAUUUUCUUUCCUCCUCUUAUAUAUGAA